rnacentral:rRNA from 1 species
CUUGCUAAGUUUGAUGGCGACCGGCGCACGGGUGAGUAACACGUAUCCAACCUGCCCUUUACUCGGGGAUAGCCUUUCGAAAGAAAGAUUAAUACCCGAUAGUAUAAUGAUUCCGCAUGGUUUCAUUAUUAAAGGAUUCCGGUAAAGGAUGGGGAUGCGUUCCAUUAGGUUGUUGGUGGGGUAACGGCUCACCAAGCCUUCGAUGGAUAGGGGUUCUGAGAGGAAGGUCCCCCACAUUGGAACUGAGACACGGUCCAAACUCCUACGGGAGGCAGCAUG